GAUGAACGCUGGCGGCGUGCCUAAUACAUGCGAGUCGAGCGAACGGACGAGAAGCUUGCUUCUCUGUUGUUAGCGGCGGACGGGUGAGUAACACGUGGAUAACCUACCUAUAAGACUGGGAUAACUUCGGGAAACCGGAGCUAAUACCGGAUAAUAUUUUGAACCGCAUGGUUCAAAAGUGAAAGACGGUCUUGCUGUCACUUAUAGAUGGAUCCGCGCCGCAUUAGCUAGUUGGUAAGGUAACGGCUUACCAAGGCAACGAUGCAUAGCCGACCUGAGAGGGUGAUCGGCCACACUGGAACUGAGACACGGUCCAGACUCCUACGGGAGGCAGCAGUAGGGAAUCUUCCGCAAUGGGCGAAAGCCUGACGGAGCAACGCCGCGUGAGUGAUGAAGGUCUUCGGAUCGUAAAACUCUGUUAUUAGGGAAGAACAUAUGUGUAAGUAACUGUGCACAUCUUGACGGUACCUAAUCAGAAAGCCACGGCUAACUACGUG
rnacentral:rRNA from 1 species